AAUAGACCAGUGGGAGAAACAGGGUGGUCCACUGAAAUACAGGAAAGGAGGCAACGCCCGGCUCCAGCCCCAAGAGACCCAAGCAUCUUCCCAGCCCGCAGGGAGAGGCACCUGGGCGCAGAGGAAAGGGCCCCAAGCCUCCGCGAAGGAAAGGAAAGGGCGGCCGGCUCGUCCCUGGUUGCGGUCCCCACCCGGCGGCGCGGGGGAGGCCUUCCCGGCAGAUCGCCUGUCACUUACGGGCGGCACCUCCAGGCAGAGCCGGGCAGAGCAGGGCCAGCGGGCCAGCGGGUGGCGGAGUUUGCUGACUCAAAGGCGCGGCGGCGGCGGCGGCGAGCGCUUAGGAGCGCACACGAGAGCAGCCCCGCGCUCCCCGUGCACGUAGCGGCCCCGCGCCCGCGCUCCACGCCUGCUCUCGCGGCCACCGCACCGCCCAACCCAGGUACGGCCCCGCGGGGGCCUGCCCCGCCCUGCCGCGGACCUGCAAGCUGCCCUCUGCCCCCGGGCUGGGGAGAGCUGUGCGGCCGCUGGGGGGCGCCACUUGAAAGCUACCAGGAGCUUGCAAACCCCGCCCCGCCCCCUUAGUUACUUACGGAGAGGAUGGUUGAAUGGGAAGAGUGAUGGACUGAUAAUGGUACAAUGUCAAUGGUAGAACCUAGGUGGUGGGCAUAUGGGUGUUUACUGAAAAAUUCUUUCAACUUUUCUGUAUGUUUGAAUUUUUUCACAAGACAUCCUGGGAGGAAAGAAAUGAGGUCUGUCAAGGUGGCUGAAUCAGUAAACCGUUUUCCAAGUGACAUUUUGGGUUGCAUCUGACCCACUUGUUCUCGUGGAAAGCCGCAAUAAUCACUUAAACCGCUAAUGGGUGACUACAUGAAAGAAUAAUAAAGGCAGUGUUUUAAAAAAUCCAUUGAGUAAAUGUUAAAGAUUUUACUGGUUUUAUUCAAAGAUUCAUGAUUAGUCGGCAUCCAAUUUAGUAGAUAGGAAGAAGCGCUAAGGAGUUGUACAAAAUAAAAGGCUCUUAUAGACAUAAAGUGGGGAGACAAGGAAGUCAUCCUAGCAAAAAUCGGAUUGGUCAUGGCAAGAUCACUUUUCUCUAGGAGAAGAUAGGGGUCUAUCAGGGAGACAGUCACACUGCUGACCAGGUUGAUACUAAGUUCCCAUUUUGUGAUGUCUCAGCAGAUGGCCAUAAUGGUAAAGAACCCAACUGCCAAUCCAGAAGACAUAAGAGAGCAGGUCAGAUCCCUGGGUUGAAAAGGUCCCCUGGAGGAGGGCAUGGCAACCCACUCCAGUAUUCUUGCCUGGAGAAUCCCAUGGACAGGGGAGCCUGGUGGGCUACAGUCCAUGGGGUGGCAAAGAGUCGGACAUGACUGAAGCAACUUAGUAUACCCUGUAAGUGCUCACGGUAAGUGACUCCAUUCUGGGCCUAUUUUCUUUCUUGUAAUAGGAGUCUCAGUUCGGUUCAGUUCAGUUCAGUCACUCAGUCGUGUCCAGCUCUUUGCGACCCCGUGAAUCCCAGGAUGCCAGGCCUCCCUGUCCAUCACAAACU
rnacentral:lncRNA from 1 species